rnacentral:tRNA from 1 species
GGGGGUAUAGCUCAGUGGCAGAGUGCUUGCCUAACAUGCAUAAAGCCCUGGGUUCAACCCCCAGCUCUG